rnacentral:lncRNA from 1 species
UGAUGGAAAUACCUAGCCACAAAGAACACUUUAGAAUGGAGGAGUCAGAGAUCACAAACUUUCUAACAACUUUAGGAUUUUGUUUCCUUAAAAUAAUUGCUUUGCGGCCACCAGGUGGCAGCCGGAGACGGGAGCUCGCAGGCUGACAAAGGAGCCUGUCCCCGUGGCUGCAGCUGGUCAAAAUGGCAGAUGGUCCAGAAGGCUCUUUGUACGCCCAUCUGGGUCAGCUUAUUAACUUUGCUUUCCAAUUUUUAAAUAUAAAAAUAUACGUCUUCAUUAAAAUAAGUAAACAAACGACAUAAUUCAAAGACGAUAUAUUUAAAUACUGUGUGUGUUAUUUAUUUAAAAAUAACACUUAAAUUAUAUACUGAUUUGCUAAAACUCUUCAAAAGAUUUGCCAGGUUAUUCAUUGGCUUCGUUUUUCACUCUCAAAAAUUCAAAUAAGGAGAGAAAUAAAAAAAAAAUUAUGAGGAGCUGCUUCAUAAUCCUAGGAACGUCCAUUCUCCCAGUCCCUCUGGGUGCAAUGGGCAGGGUUUCUGUCCUAAAUGCCUUGGCCAGCAGCCAGUACAGAAGGCAUCUUUCUCUCCCCACUCCUCAGCUGUGUGGUUCUGGUGGUUCAGAUUCUUAAGUUUGUCCCAACUCCAUCACCUGCAUCCUGUCUUUCCAGCCAUUUUCGUGGUUCUGGCCCCAUGCCUCCUGUCUAGGCAACCCCUAUCUUCAUUCUCUCUGAAAUCUCUCCUCCACACCAAUGUCAGGGUGACCCACUUCACCCAGAGAUUGCACCUUGC